CACGUAGGGCGCAAGCGUUGUCCGGAAUUAUUGGGCGUAAAGAGCUCGUAGGCGGUCUGUUGCGUCCGCUGUGAAAACUCGGGGCUUAACCCCGAGCCUGCAGUGGAUACGGGCAGACUAGAGGUAGGUAGGGAAGAAUGGAAUUCCCGGUGUAGCGGUGAAAUGCGCAGAUAUCGGGAGGAACACCGGUGGCGAAGGCGGCUCUCUGGGACGGUACUGACGCUGAGACGCGAAAGCGUGGGGAGCGAACAGG
rnacentral:rRNA from 1 species